rnacentral:rRNA from 1 species
GACGAACGCUGGCGGCGUGCUUAACACAUGCAAGUCGAACGGAAAGGCCCUGCUUUUGUGGGGUGCUCGAGUGGCGAACGGGUGAGUAACACGUGAGUAACCUGCCCCUGACUUUGGGAUAACUUCAGGAAACUGGGGCUAAUACCGGAUAGGAGCUCCUGCUGCAUGGUGGGGGUUGGAAAGUUUCGGCGGUUGGGGAUGGAAUCGCGGCUUAUCAGCUUGUUUGUGGGGUAGUUGCUUACCAAGGCUUUGACGGGUAGCCGGCCUGGGAGGGUGACCGGCCACCAUGGGACUGAGGUACGGCCCAGACGCCUACGGGAGGCAGCAGGGGGGAACAUUGCACAAUGGGCGGAAGCCUGAUGCAGCAACGCCGCGUGCGGGAUGCCGGCCUUCGGGUUGUAAACCGCUUUCGCCUGUGACGAAGCGUGAGUGACGGUAAUGGGUAAAGAAGCACCGGCUAACUACGUG